AGGAAAAAACUCCUCUUAUACUCUCUGAAUUCUGAGUGAAACGAAUGCAGAACUUGGAAUUCAUGGCCAAAUCAAAGUAAGCCGUGGAUUAAUUGGGUUGAUCGAUUGGAGAAAGUAACAAAGGAAAUGGAUCCAAUUAGCUGUUGCUCUUGCCGACGACAGGAAGCUUGCUUUGGCUCUUUUUGUAUUGUCUCAUUUGUAUCGAGGUUGGCGAGAUUUAGUUAUAAAAAGAUUUGGUCGUGCAGGG
rnacentral:lncRNA from 1 species